rnacentral:lncRNA from 1 species
AUGAGCAAAGACAGAAUUGCAAUGAAUGCUCCCAUCAGUCCUUUUCAAGUCUGAGAUUCUCAAGGACAGGAGAAACAAUAAUAAUGCCCUAAGCUAAAAAGGAUAACUUUAAGAAAUUACAGAAAGCCAUCUCCCUUGACCUCUGACCCACCAGCCACCCUUGAGCUGGUCCCACUGGGUCGGGAAGCGGCACCUGUCCCCGUAAAGUGGAGCGGCCGC